rnacentral:rRNA from 1 species
UACGAAGGGUGCAAGCGUUAAUCGGAAUUACUGGGCGUAAAGCGUGCGUAGGCGGUUUGUUAAGUCUGUUGUGAAAUCCCCGGGCUCAACCUGGGAAUGGCAAUGGAUACUGGCAAGCUAGAGUGUGUCAGAGGAUGGUAGAAUUCCACGUGUAGCAGUGAAAUGCGUAGAGAUGUGGAGGAACACCGGUGGCGAAGGCGGCUCACUGGCUCAUUACUGACGCUCAGGCGCGAUAGCGUGGGGAGCAAACAGG